AACGAACCCGAGACUUCGGUCUCAAUGGGUGAGUGGCGAACGGGUGAGUAACACGUGAGAAAUCUACCCUGAAGAUUGGGACAACCAUUGGAAACGAUGGCUAAUACCAAAUACCCUGUUUGCGUCGCAUGGCGUGUUCAGGAAACGCUCCGGUGCUUCAGGAGGAUCUCGCGGCCUAUCAGCUUGUUGGUGAGGUAAAGGCUCACCAAGGCGACGACGGGUAGCCGGCCUGAGAGGGCGACCGGCCACACUGGGACUGAGACACGGCCCAGACUCC
rnacentral:rRNA from 1 species